CCUACGGGGGGCAGCAGUGGGGAAUAUUGGACAAUGGGGGCAACCCUGAUCCAGCCAUGCCGCGUUUGUGAAGAAGGCCCUCGGGUUGUAAAGCACUUUCAGUGAGGAAGAACGCCUGGUGGUUAAUACCCAUCAGGAAAGACAUCACUCACAGAAGAAGCACCGGCUAACUCCGUGCCAGCAGCCGCGGUAAUACGGAGGGUGCGAGCGUUAAUCGGAAUUACUGGGCGUAAAGCGCGCGUAGGUGGCUUGAUAAGCCGGUUGUGAAAGCCCCGGGCUCAACCUGGGAACGGCAUCCGGAACUGUCAAGCUAGAGUGCAGGAGAGGAAGGUAGAAUUCACGGUGUAGCGGUGAAAUGCGUAGAGAUCGGGAGGAAUACCAGUGGCGAAGGCGGCCUUCUGGACUGACACUGACACUGAGGUGCGAAAGCGUGGGUAGCAAACAGGAUUAGAUACCCCAGUAGUC
rnacentral:rRNA from 1 species